AGUGAACGCUGGCGGUAGGCCUAACACAUGCAAGUCGAACGGCAGCACAGUAAGAGCUUGCUCUUACGGGUGGCGAGUGGCGGACGGGUGAGGAAUACAUCGGAAUCUACUUUUUCGUGGGGGAUAACGUAGGGAAACUUACGCUAAUACCACAUACGACCUACGGGUGAAAGCAGGGGAUCUUCGGACCUUGCGCGAUUGAAUGAGCCGAUGUCGGAUUAGCUAGUUGGCGGGGUAAAGGCCCACCAAGGCGACGAUCCGUAGCUGGUCUGAGAGGAUGAUCAGCCACACUGGAACUGAGACACGGUCCAGACUCCUACGGGAGGCAGCAGUGGGGAAUAUUGGACAAUGGGCGCAAGCCUGAUCCAGCCAUACCGCGUGGGUGAAGAAGGCCUUCGGGUUGUAAAGCCCUUUUGUUGGGAAAGAAGAGCAGCAGGUUAAUACCCCGCUGUUCUGACGGUACCCAAAGAAUAAGCACCGGCUAACUUCGUG
rnacentral:rRNA from 1 species